rnacentral:tRNA from 1 species
GGGGAUUUAGCUCAGUGGUAGAGAGCGCUUGCCUAGGAAGCGUAAGGCCCUGGGUUCGGUCCCCAGCUCCG